AUGCCUUGCACGCUGCAGCGUUGUGAUUUUUUAUUACUGCAGGUGCUAAAUAAAUCCUCAGUGAUGGAGCCCGGAGCCAAACACAUUUAUCCUUGUCACCUCUCCAAUUCUGUGCAGCUGGAAUGGAGCCCAAGGCUCAGGAGAUGCAAUAAAUCUGCUCUCUGGGCUCCACCCGUUUCUCCACCAAGCAGAUGUGGUCGCCGGGAGCCAAGGCUGGAGGAAUGGACUGAGGCCCUUGUUUAAUAUGGGAGAAUAUUCAAAAGUCACAUAAGACGUGAAACAGUUCUUCUUGUGUGAGAUUCUCCCAAACACUGCGGGACAUCCAGCUUCCUCCUCAUCCCCAGAUGCCAAUGGGCAGGUCAACCAAAGACUACAUCCACCAGUUUCCAAAAAUGCCACCUCUGGAGCACCACAGCUUCUGCUGAUUAUCCCAGGCUUAUGAGACCACAUCCCACAUGUGGGUCACUGCCAUCCAAGACUUCACCGACAAGCAUCCACUUCAUGGACACAGAUUCACACGUCCUUCCCACCAGCUAGUGUUGGGGGCAUAACAUGGGUACUUCUAUUAUCUCCACUGCUAAUAUCUUUACUACCUACAAUACUUCUACACAAUUUUUAUUAAUCAUGACUCACUCACUGAAACCCUCCAUGAAUGGUACUAACAAGGGUAAAUAGGUAACAUUUGUUGAGUGUUCCCUGUAUGUCAGACCCUGGAUGUGUUAGUUUUGCUACUUCAUUCAAGCUUCACAAUAACCCUAUGAGGUGAAUACUAUUGUUAGCCACACUUUAUAGAGGAGAGGUUUGGUAACUGGUCCAAAGUGACCUGACUAAUGAGUGGCAGAAUUAGAAUUUGAACCCUGGCUCUUACUCUAUUUGUUAUACCAUUUCCCCAGAACUGUCUUCUCUGUAUUCAAUGUAAGUAAAAUGGCAAACUUAUACCUAUGGUCAAUUCAUCUUCAAAAAAGGAGGCAAGAAUAUACAAUGCAGAAAAGACAGUCUCUUUGGCAAGUGCUUUUGGGAAAGCUGGACAGCUGCAUGUAAAUCAAUGAAGUUAGAACACACUCUAACACCAUACACAAAAAGAAACUCAAAAUGUCUUAAAGACUUAAAGACACGAUACCAUAAAAUUACCAGAAGAGAACAUAGGCAAAAACAUUAACAUAAAUCAUACCAAUGUUUUCUUAGGUCAGUUUCCCAAAGCAAUAGAAAUAAAAGCAAAAAUAAGAAAGAAAGUGAAGUUGCUCAGUCUUGUCCAAAUCUUUGCAACCCCAUGGACUGUAGCCUACCAGGCCCCUCUGCCCAUGGGAUUUUCUAGGCAAGAGUACUGGAGUGGGUUGCCAUUUCCUUCUCCAGGGAAUCUUCCCGACCAUGAGACCUAAUCAAAUGUAUAAGCUUUUGCACAGCAAAGGAAACCAUAAACGAAAUGAAAAGACAACCUACAGACUGAGAGAAAAUAUUUGCAAAUGAUGCAACCAACAAGGGCUUAAUUCCCAAAAUGUACAAACAGUUCAUAUAACUCAAUAACAAAAUAAACCAAACACUGCGGACAUCCAGCUUCCUCCUCAUCCCCAGAUGCCAAUGGGCAGGUCAACCAAAGACUACAUCCACCAGUUUCCAAAAAUGCCACCUCUGGAGCACCACAGCUUCUGCUGAUUAUCCCAGGCUUAUGAGACCACAUCCCACAUGUGGGUCACUGCCAUCCAAGACUUCACCGACAAGCAUCCACUUCAUGGACACAGAUUCACACGUCCUUCCCACCAGCUAGUGUUGGGGGCAUAACAUGGGUACUUCUAUUAUCUCCACUGCUAAUAUCUUUACUACCUACAAUACUUCUACACAAUUUU
rnacentral:lncRNA from 1 species